rnacentral:rRNA from 1 species
CCCUUAGUAACGGCGAGUGAACCGGGAAAAGCUCAAAUUUGAAAUCUGGCUGUCUUCGAUAGUCCGAGUUGUAAUCUAUAGAAGCGUUUUCCGUGCUGAACUGUGUAUAAGUGUCUUGGAACAGACUAUCAAAGAGGGUGACAAUCCCGUACUUUACACAAUCAUCAGUGCUCUGUGAUACGUUCUCUACGAGUCGAGUUGUUUGGGAAUGCAGCUCAAAAUGGGUGGUAAAUUCCAUCUAAAGCUAAAUAUUGGCGAGAGACCGAUAGCGAACAAGUACCGUGAGGGAAAGAUGAAAAGCACUUUGGAAAGAGAGUUAAACAGUACGUGAAAUUGUUAAAAGGGAAACGAUUGAAGUCAGUCGUGUUUAUUGGAUUCAGCCGGUCUUCGGUGUACUUCCUUUAAACGGGUCAACAUCAGUUUUGUCCGGUGGAUAAAGGCAGUAGGAAUGUGGCUCCCUCGGGAGUGUUAUAGCCUAUUGUCACAUACACUGGAGGAGACUGAGGACUGCAGCUCGCCUUUUU